rnacentral:lncRNA from 1 species
CACGAAUCCCCCUCAGAAGCCUCCUCCUCACUUCAGCCACACAUAUCCUGUCAUUCUUGCCACUUUCUGAAGCACAUCUGAAGUCUUCUGUUGUGUCUUUCCAAAGUGUAAUAAAAAACUGGGUGAAGGCUGCUACUGAGCGCCACCCAACAGGAGGGCAGUUUUGUAAAACUACUGCAGUGUAUCCUCAUCCACCUUCUUCACCGCACCUGGCAUCCUGUGACCUCUGGCUCUUCUCCAUUUUGACCAUGAAAGGCUGGAAUUUCUAUCAUUGCUCCUCAGGCCCUCACUGCCCAUUUCUGUGACUUCUGUUCUCCUCUGAUAACGUUGCACACAUCCCUCCAUCCCCACCUGCACAUCUCCUCAACACAUCCCGGUCUUCACUCAGGGUAAGUCUGAUCAUCAGGAGGCCCUGCUCCAGACCCUGCAGGGAUGGCCUUUUGUGUGCUGAACAAAGCCCAGACUUCCCAAGCUGCUGCUAACUUGGCCCUCCAGUUGCAAAACGUGCUGAGAGUCAGUCGUGUGCUGAGCACUCUCUGGUCCUGGGGUAACUGGGAGAACCAGACAGACUAGUCCCCA